rnacentral:rRNA from 1 species
GAUGAACGCUGGCGGCAGGCCUAACACAUGCAAGUCGAACGAGUGGCGGACGGGUGAGUAAUGUCUGGGCAACUGCCCGAUGGAGGGGGAUAACUACUGGAAACGGUAGCUAAUACCGCAUACCAUCGGAUGUGCCCAGAUGGGAUUAGCUAGUAGGUGGGGUAACGGCUCACCUAGGCGACGAUCCCUAGCUGGUCUGAGAGGUGGACCACCCAAACUGGAACGGAGACACGGUCCAGACUCCUACGGGAGGCAGCAGUGGGGAAUAUUGGACAAUGGGGGCAAGCCUGAGGCAGCACGGCCGCGUGGAUGUAGAAGGCCUUCGGGUUGUAAAGUACUUUCAGCGGGGAGGCGUUACCCGCAGAAGAAGCCACGGCUAACUCCGUGCCAGCAGCCGCGGUAAUUC